rnacentral:rRNA from 1 species
AUGAACGCUAGCUACAGGCUUAACACAUGCAAGUCGAGGGGCAGCAUGGUCUUAGCUUGCUAAGGCCGAUGGCGACCGGCGCACGGGUGAGUAACACGUAUCCAACCUGCCGUCUACUCUUGGACAGCCUUCUGAAAGGAAGAUUAAUACAAGAUGGCAUCAUGAGUCCGCAUGUUCACAUGAUUAAAGGUAUUCCGGUAGACGAUGGGGAUGCGUUCCAUUAGAUAGUAGGCGGGGUAACGGCCCACCUAGUCUUCGAUGGAUAGGGGUUCUGAGAGGAAGGUCCCCCACAUUGGAACUGAGACACGGUCCAAACUCCUACGGGAGGCAGCAGUGAGGAAUAUUGGUCAAUGGGCGAGAGCCUGAACCAGCCAAGUAGCGUGAAGGAUGACUGCCCUAUGGGUUGUAAACUUCUUUUAUAAAGGAAUAAAGUCGGGUAUGGAUACCCGUUUGCAUGUACUUUAUGAAUAAGGAUCGGCUAACUCCGUGCCAGCAGCCGCGGUAAUACGGAGGAUCCGAGCGUUAUCCGGAUUUAUUGGGUUUAAAGGGAGCGUAGAUGGAUGUUUAAGUCAGUUGUGAAAGUUUGCGGCUCAACCGUAAAAUUGCAGUUGAUACUGGAUAUCUUGAGUGCAGUUGAGGCAGGCGGAAUUCGUGGUGUAGCGGUGAAAUGCUUAGAUAUCACGAAGAACUCCGAUUGCGAAGGCAGCCUGCUAAGCUGCAACUGACAUUGAGGCUCGAAAGUGUGGGUAUCAAACAGGAUUAGAUACCCUGGUAGUCCACACGGUAAACGAUGAAUACUCGCUGUUUGCGAUAUACUGCAAGCGGCCAAGCGAAAGCGUUAAGUAUUCCACCUGGGGAGUACGCCGGCAACGGUGAAACUCAAAGGAAUUGACGGGGGCCCGCACAAGCGGAGGAACAUGUGGUUUAAUUCGAUGAUACGCGAGGAACCUUACCCGGGCUUAAAUUGCAGAUGAAUUACGGUGAAAGCCGUAAGCCGCAAGGCAUCUGUGAAGGUGCUGCAUGGUUGUCGUCAGCUCGUGCCGUGAGGUGUCGGCUUAAGUGCCAUAACGAGCGCAACCCUUGUUGUCAGUUACUAACAGGUUCCGCUGAGGACUCUGACAAGACUGCCAUCGUAAGAUGUGAGGAAGGUGGGGAUGACGUCAAAUCAGCACGGCCCUUACGUCCGGGGCUACACACGUGUUACAAUGGGGGGUACAGAGGGCCGCUACCACGCGAGUGGAUGCCAAUCCCCAAAACCUCUCUCAGUUCGGACUGGAGUCUGCAACCCGACUCCACGAAGCUGGAUUCGCUAGUAAUCGCGCAUCAGCCACGGCGCGGUGAAUACGUUCCCGGGCCUUGUACACACCGCCCGUCAAGCCAUGAAAGCCGGGGGCGCCUGAAGUCCGUGACCGCGAGGGUCGGCCUAGGGUGAAACCGGUGAUUGGGGCU